rnacentral:rRNA from 1 species
AGGUCACUGCUAUCAGAGUUUGAUUAAGCCAUGCAAGUUGGGGGUUCUUCGUGAGCCCGGCGGACUGCUCAGUAACACGUGGAUAACCUGCCCUUGGGACUGGAAUAACCCCGUGAAAUUGGGGACAAUGCUAGAUAGGGCAUUGAUGCUGGAAUGCUUGAUGAUCGAAACGUCCGAAAGGAUGCCCAAGGAUGGACCUGCGGCCGAUUAGGUUGAUGUUGAUGUAAAGGAUCAACAUGCCUAUGAUCGGUACGGGUUGUGGGAGCAAGAGCCCGGAGAUGGAUUCUGAGACAAGAAUCCAGGCCCUACGGGGCGCAGCAGGCGCGAAAACUUUAUAAUGCACGAAAGUGUGAUAAGGGAACUCUGAGUGCUUUCUCGUAAAGCUGUCCAAAUGCCUAAAAAGCAUUUGCUAGCAAGGGCCGGGUAAGACCGGUGCCAGCCGCCGCGGUAACACCGGCGGCCCUAGUGGUGAUCGCUAUUAUUGGGUCUAAAGGGUCCGUAGCCGUCUUAGUAAGUCCUUUGGGAAAUCCGGCGGCUUAAUCGUCGGUUGUUUAGAGGAUACUGCUUGGAUUGGGACCGGGAUAGGCUAGAGGUAUCUCAGGGGUAGGAGUGAAAUCUUGUAAUCCUUGAGGGACCACCUGUGGCGAAGGCGUCUAGCUGGAACGGGUCCGACGGUAAGGGACGAAAGCUAGGGGCGCGAACCGGAUUAGAUACCCGGGUAGUCCUAGCUGUAAACGAUGCGAGCUAGGUGGUAGUCCCACUGCGAGUGGUACUGAUGCCGUAGGGAAGCCGUGAAGCUCGCCACCUGGGAAGUACGGUCGCAAGGCUGAAACUUAAAGGAAUUGGCGGGGGAGCACAACAACGGGUGGAUGCUGCGGUUU